rnacentral:rRNA from 1 species
UACGGAGGGUGCGAGCGUUGUCCGGAAUCAUUGGGCGUAAAGGGCGCGUAGGUGGCGGGACAAGCGUGCGGUGAAAGCCUGGGGCUCAACCCCGGGUCGGCCGUGCGAACUGUUUUGCUUGAGCACUGUAGAGGCAGGCGGAAUUCCGGGUGUAGCGGUGAAAUGCGCAGAUAUCAGGAGGAACACCGGUGGCGAAGGCGGGUCUCUGGGCAACAACUGACGCUGAGGAGCGAAAGCGUGGGGAGCGAACAGG